CUGUGUCUAAAAAUUAAAAAUGUAAUGAUUUCAGAAACUAAUGCUACAGUACAAUGUGCCUGCUGAAACAUUUCUGACAAUUGUUAUAUUUUUGUUUUUUUGGGUGGUU
rnacentral:pre_miRNA from 1 species